CUAGCAUAUCAAUAAGCGGAGGAAAAGAAACCAACAGGGAUUGCCCCAGUAACGGCGAGUGAAGCGGCAACAGCUCAAAUUUGAAAUCUGGCUCUCGGGCCCGAGUUGUAAUUUGUAGAGGAUGCUUUUGGUGAGGUGCCUUCCGAGUUCCCUGGAACGGGACGCCAUAGAGGGUGAGAGCCCCGUCUGGUUGGACGCCGAACCUCUGUAAAGCUCCUUCGACGAGUCGAGUAGUUUGGGAAUGCUGCUCUAAAUGGGAGGUAUAUGUCUUCUAAAGCUAAAUACCGGCCAGAGACCGAUAGCGCACAAGUAGAGUGAUCGAAAGAUGAAAAGAACUUUGAAAAGAGAGUUAAACAGUACGUGAAAUUGUUGAAAGGGAAGCGCUUGUGACCAGACUUGGGCUUGGUUGAUCAUCCGGGGUUCUCCCCGGUGCACUCUUCCGGCUCAGGCCAGCAUCAGUUCGCCCUGGGGGAUAAAGGCAUCGGGAACGUGGCUCUCUCCGGGGAGUGUUAUAGCCCGUUGCGUAAUACCCUGUGGCGGACUGAGGUUCGCGCAUUCGCAAGGAUGCUGGCGUAAUGGUCAUCAGUGACCCGUCUUGAAACACGGACCAAGGAGUCGUCUUCGUAUGCGAGUGUUCGGGUGUCAAACCCCUACGCGAAAUGAAAGUGAACGCAGGUGAGAGCUUCGGCGCAUCAUCGACCGAUCCUGAUGUAUUCGGAUGGAUUUGAGUAAGAGCAUACGGGGCCGGACCCGAAAGAAGGUGAACUAUGCCUGUGUAGGGUGAAGCCAGAGGAAACUCUGGUGGAGGCUCGCAGCGGUUCUGACGUGCAAAUCGAUCGUCAAACAUGGGCAUGGGGGCGAAAGACUAAUCGAACCUUCUAGUAGCUGGUUUCCGCCGAA
rnacentral:rRNA from 1 species